CUGAACAUGGCUGCUUUAUACACAUAUCUAAUUAUCAUAGUUGAUGACAACUGGCUUCUGAGGUAAUAAAUACGGAUGUAAUUUAUACUUGUAAUGUUCCCAUAACUGAAAAAUGCUCACUUUCCAGACAAAAGAUUAAUGUUGAGGUUGUUAAUGUAGAGAAACAGUUGUACUGGGAAAGAUGACUGUAAUGUUAGGAAAAGCAGACGUAAAAUUUCCAGCUUAACUAAACCUGCAGAUCUGCAGGUGGAAUUUUCAGCAAGGCAUGGUUGUGUGAGGUGCACAUGAUAAGGGGUGAAGUGUUUAUGUACAGAGCCAAGCCAAAGCAGAGAAAACCAAUUUCAGACUCUUGUCUAUGGUGCUGGCAAAGGAGGAGAACAGGGAAGGUGUCGUACAGGUCUUCUCUAAGAUACCUGCCCAGCUUUCAGUACUGGAUGGUUUGCAUGGGAUUCAGAACCUCUGAGGUCAGGAACCUCAGAUCUACAAAAACACUGCUGCUUAGCUGUCACUGGUGUAGAAAGUUUUGAGCAAAAGCUGUCAUAGAUUUUCAAGCCUGUGUGAAUCUGGAGAUGCAGCUGUUAGCUCACUCAGGUGCCUGAGGGCUGCUUGGAAACCACGUGUGCACAUUCUUGCUACUCAGUUUUCAAGGGUGCAAGCCACUAGGAGUCAGCUGAGCAUUUCUGAUGUGCCUAGACAAUAGGAGGUUAAGCCCAAACCAUAGCUCUUCUUUCUUUGCCAGUUUUCAGAGAGAGACAUAGUGUACCAAUGCCUGUAUCCUGAUCAUGAAGUUCUUCUAGAAAGCAGGAAGGAUGGAUUUGAACAGAAGGGGAGUUUCUGCUUAGUGAGUCAGCGUUUCCACAUAGUGCCUUAAUGCCUGGGCUGCUCUGUGAAAAAUGGGAAAUAACAUCAAUCCAUCCCCUUGUCUGGAUGCAGAUACUGUGGUUGAAAAAACUGUGGGGAAAUGUUUAGAAUAGUUUGAGGUACUUGCUUCAAGCGUAGCUUAGGUAGCUAGAUCCAUAAAAGAAUUAACAUUUCAGAAAUGCCUUCUCUGGUGCGUUUCUUUUUGGCUGGUAUAGGUUUUUAUUUAGGAAGCUCAGUAUUUUGACUACUCUUUUUCUAUACCUAUGACUUUUACGUUCAUUGUAUAGAGAAUGACGGUGCUUAAUGCAGCCUGUGAGCUCCCUCCCUGUAACCAGCUGCCUUAUUACUUUGAGUGCUGGGUCUUACUUUGGUUCUGACCCUUGCGUUCUCUUGAACGUGAGCCAUUAAAGCUGGUACAGUUAAAAUUCAGUGAGAUCACUUAGCACACAUUUAUUGACUUUGAUAGUUCUGUAUAGAGAGAAUAAAAGACUGCAUUUUUCACUUAUAUAAAAAAUGAUUUAAAACAUUCUGAAAACAACCUUAUCUUUGAUUACUAAUGAAUGUAUCUAUAAUGGAAAAUAAACGAGCUAUGAAAAAAUACAUUUCAAAGGGCCUCAGUGCAGAGUAUAAGUUGGAGAGUGUGUAUGUGAAGAAAACUCUCCUGGUACAACUUGGACACGUAGUAAUACAGAACUGUACUGGCUGUCAUGCAUUUGUUCAUGGUAUUCAGUAUUUAAAAUAUAAAAUAAAUAAAAACUUCAUUAUAGUCCAUCAAAACUUUCCUUAUAAUUCCUUCAUUAUCUUCUUGAACAGGUGUAGGCAGUACAAAUGCCACCAUCUUUCUGGUCUUCCAUCUUCUGUAUUUUUGUUUCCUCUUCUAUUUUUAAAAUUAAAUAUAUAUUUAGAUAAAAAUAUUUAAAUUAUUUUAUAAUUUAUAAAUUUUAUUAAAUUACAUAAGUUUAUAUUUAAAGAUGUUGAUGAAGUCUGGAGAUGAGAGGUUGUGGUAUUAUAGAAAAGAAGCUGAAUGGUUCUGAGGUCUUGGUGGAUAAGGGUGAAAUAUAAUAGAAAGCUAAAAAAGUAAAGAAGAGUUUUUUGAUUUGUCAGAGGGUGCAUGAGGAAGCCUGACAAAAUGAUAAAUUGACAACUGAAAUGAAUCUAAAUUCUGUAAAAGGCAUAUCUGAUACUAGGCUGUAUUAGAUGAAGUAUUUCUGGAACAGCUAGGAAUAUAAUAGUGCUGUUUUAUGAAGCACAAGACAGAGCUCAUAGCCAUGCAUGCAGUUAAGGACUAGGAAGAUGAUUUAUUUGGCAACAUAAAUUAAAGGAGUUGAUAUAUAUUUUUUUUCCCCUCUUCUCUGUAAGUACAUGAGAAGGUAAACACUAAAGGAAGAAACGUUAAGAUAAACCACAGUGCUGGCAAAAAAAAAUAUCUCUUAAGUGAGGCAUGGGUGCAUUGGGGUGGAAAUUGGAAGUAGUGUUUAACCAUACAUGUAUGGUUCUGGCAUGACUUUCAGCUAGUUUUACAGCCCUGCAGAAGAUAUGAAAUAAGAACUUGGUUAAAGACUAAUUGUAUGACUUAAUUGGCUAUAUUGGACUUUCUCACCUAAGUGUGGCUGUUUGUUGCUGUUUGAGUAGCGUAACAGAGCCGUGGUCUACAGCUGUGGCUCCUAAACACUGAUGUAACGGAAAGAAUGAGCAUCUUCUGUAUUCUGUGAAUCCUUCCAUCCAAGGGGUAUGCUCUAAAGUAACCAGACUUUGUGUAUAACCUGAGGGAAGUUCUGUUUCUAGUUAAAAUGUUUUCCCCUCAGAAGGGUAUGUCAUUGGCCAUUCUCAGUUUAGAGGCUUUAUAAAUUUACUGGGAUUAAACUGUUUAGGUACCUGUAACGCAUCGCUCUGAGUGCUUCUCUGGUUUUCCAUGACCUCAUGGGAGCCUCUUACAUUCUGGUUGUCCACUGACACACGUUCUGGGGUGCUGCUACUCAGUCUGUGAAGUGCUACCACACGUUUGCUAUGAAGCUUCUCAGUGUAUUCUUUACAAACAGAAGAGUUGCAAUCUAUUUGACCAUGCCUUGUAUGAGGAUUAUUCAUAUUGUAUGUCAUUCCUGUUCUUGCACAACCCCUUCUACUUUUACUCCCUCUUCAAUGGAGAGGAACAGGCAAAAAGAAAGAACAUAGAUUUAUAAAAUGUUAUCAGAUGACCUUUUUCUGUUUGAUGCUGUAUUCCUUUUCCAAUAUGUUCUCAUUUUCCUAAUUUUUUUUUUAAGUUCCCUAGUUUGCUUUUUUCAGCACUGCCAAGCACUGCUUUCAUAGAAUUUUCUAUCCUAACUCCAUACUUCUACGCCACAGUGUUAAUGGUCCCCUCAGAGCAUCUUGUCUUAUAUGAACCUAGGAUUUCUUUUCCCUAUAUGUAUGACUUUACAUGUAUCUAAAUUGAAUGUCACUGGCCAUUUUUAUUACCUUAUCACUCAGACUGAUAAGGUGUUUAUGCUGUUCUUUGAAGGCCUCAUCCUUACUACCUUGGAUAAGGUUUUACCAUUAGUAGAUUUUUCUCAACUUCCUGAUGUCUGGCGAUCUGUUUUUUCCCUACCCUUACCAAAUUAUUUAUGUUCAACAGGACGGUUCCCAGUACCUGUGCAGGUAUGUAGAUCACUCCAAAACAAAUGUGUCCUAUUUAUUUCCAUGGAAAUUGCAAUGGAUACAAAGAACACAAUAACAUCAUUUGAUAGCGCAAAGUUUCAGCUGCAAAAGCCAUAUUGACUCUUCACAGAUACAGCAUGUUUAGCAAGUUAUUUACUAAUCUGUCCUUCAUUACACUUUCUGUUAUCAGAUCUCAAACUUAAACAAAUGGAUUCCAGAGAACUUUCUUGUUUCUCUGGUUUGUCAUCAUAUUUGUCAGCUCCAUUGUUUAGGUAGAAAAGAAAGUGUAGUCUUGGAGGUGCUUCAUUCUGUAUUUCCUCAGAACCCCAGGCCAUGGCAUUACUCUGUAUGUGUUUGUACUGUAAAUCCUUCUGCAGUUACUUCUAAUUUAAACCGGUUCUGCUUCAUGACUUAAUAGCUUAGAUGUGGUAGUCCCCUUAAUUUUGUUGUUUAGUCAGCUGAUUUCACUUUACCCUGUACCAGCGUUUGCUUUAGUAAGCUGUGCAUGCUGGCACUGUGCUUCUGAUGUAAAAUCAUCCAGGUUGGAAGAUACCUUCAAGAUUACCAAGCCCAGCCAUCAAGAUGAUCUGCCAAGUCCCAUCGCCAAACCACGCUCCUUAGAACUGUGUGCAACACUGCUUUUGAACGCUUUCAGGGAUGGGGACUUCACCACUUCCCUAAGCAGUUUAUUCCAAUGCAUGAUGACUUGAUAGCCUCCAGUAGUAUCUACUACUGCCUGCAAGGAUUCACUUGUUUUGGGUGUACCUUACAGCUUUUCUAAGUCAUCCUCAGUGUGGUGACUUUUCUUGGUCUUUGUUGUUCAGGUAGUGCUACUGAUGCCAAGUACUUUAUAGACACCAAGUAGCACUUUUACUGUGAGAUUUUUGGACUGGCUCUGCGCAUUACUCCAUGCAAACAAGUCAUGGAUUGUAUUUCCUAUUAUGUACUUGCUAAUGAUGAAACAAUCACUGGUAAGAUCUAAAAAUAUCUUAUGUAGGAUAUUGACUCCAUCUGUAUGCCUUAAUACAAUUGAAUCUUCUGCCUUUGCUACAUCUCUGAUGUCUGUUAGCAGAUGAUGCCUCUGUUGUGAUUGGUGCUUGUACAGGUUGCAAUACGCAGUAAAACUUGUUUCUACCUGAAAUUUCAAUUCACACACCUUUUCUGUUAGUCACCAAAAUGGGUAUUUUAUGACUUAGAUUUAAUUUAAAAUUAUUUUUUAAUAUAUUUAAAAAAGAGUUUAGUUGAACAGCUAGCAUGAUUUCCUCUAUUAACUGCAUGUUCUAUGGCCAAAUCUUACUUUCAUAGUUUCCAAUGUGCGUGGUACAUUAAGUUUUUAAUUUAGGACAAGAAAUUGCUCUAAAAUGGCCCUUUGAAAUUUUCAAUGCAUGUUCUAAUGCUUAAAGUAUAAAUGUAUUCUGAAUUAUUAAUGUGUUCCACAAAUAUUGAGACAGUCAUGUUAAUAAUUUGGUAAAAAUAUGCACUUGAAACAUUUUAAAAUUUAGUUAUAUAUGAAAUGAAAGAGAAAAAAAUGGUACUGAAAAGAGCAAAAUGAAACGUCUUAAGUGCUAUGUACUAAAAGUAUGAGCUGUAUAGAACAUGCUGUCAAUGUAGAAAUGCUGCUAAUGUAGAAAUAUGCAAAUGUGUACUUUUUCCAGCUAUUCUGUUGAAAGUGCAGAAUAAUGAAAUGGAACAAUACGUUGAACGGAUCAGCUAGAACUGUAAUGUUAGAAUGAUGUAUUUUACAGAGUAUUUUGUGCUAAAUUUAUUUCCCUCUUAUUUUAAGGAGGAAAUUAUUUAAUUCAAAAGAAGAAAAUGGCAUUUUCACUUAAUUAGUGAAGAAAAAAUGGCCACAUAAUCUGAUAUUAGGUAUCUAUCUAGUUAUAGAUGGGUCUAGUACCUGUAUGGUCAGUGUUCUGCAGCUGUUUUGACUUCUAAACCUAAGAUAGAUCUUCAGAGCAAUAGUAAUACUCUUAUUCAACAACGUUAGAGUCUCAGCAUGCUAUUGCUUUAAAAAUAAUACAAGGAAAUAACUUUUCCAAUGUUUAUGGUUAUUUCUGUGUCGUUUUUCUUUGUUCUAGUGUGAGAACCCACAUACUAGCAGGAUUCGUAGUGAAUGGUCUUUGCUAACAAAUCCAUAUUUAGAACAUGAUGCUCUUAGGCAGAUUCCCCCAUGCAUAAUCCAGGGGUGUGAGAUGAAAAUUCUUUAAUCUGUGUUUCAGAAGACUUUUCAGCUGAUCUGUGGAAUUUUGUGGAUACUUUGAGUAACCACCCUUAUUGCAGUAGUCAAGCUUUUUGAGCCUUGCAGUUUAAAUAAUGUGAAAGACAAAGUUGAAGAAUGUGUCCCCCCCGGAUUGUUUGUUGGAAACUUAGCAACCCUUCAGAGCUGCGCAAUAAAAUCCUUCUAUUUUCUUUGUUUUUAUAUUGCCAGAAGGAAUUAAAAAUUGUUAAUGUAGCAAAUGAGUUAUAGAUAUAUUUCAGCAGUUUGUCUUAUUUUAUAUGUUUAUGUUCCAGUAACACAGUAGGAAAUCUUCUGUAGCACACAGGAAUAAAUGACUUUGUUUUUACUCAAGGUAAAUUUGCUCAGUUUUUACAGCAUCUUGAAAGAGUCCAUUUCAGUACUGGGGGGGGAGAAAAAAAGCUUUAUUUAACAUAGAAAUGUUGUAAAUAUAAUAUGUCCCCAGCUAAACACGAUAAUUUAAAAUCUAUUAAAUACUGAGUAGUAGUGCUUACCUUACAUACUCUCUGAUAACAACUUAAGCUUGAGUUUCUCCGAGCAUUUAUGCUGCUUAAACUCUUGCUUGUGCUUAGCUUUACUGUGAAAUUUGCUCAUUCUUUGCUUUUAUCACCAGAGAAACGUAACUGAAGAAUCCAAUCAGCCAUUUCAAGCUGAGAGUUAUGUUUUGUGUAUGCGUAAAGUAUUUGUCAGUACCAAAAGUUGCCUUUCAAAUAAUAUUAAUUUUCAAGUUUUCACAGAUGUAAAACUUAAAUAUUUUAAAUACUGUGUUGAGGUACUACUUUAUCUGCUUUUAAUUAUUUAGAUGAAUCCCUGAAAGUUACUUUGAAUAUUUUUACCAUCGCUACUUAUUACUUUGAAUUGACUCCAUUACGCUUGUAAGAGCUAUGUAGGCCUCGUCUAGAAAACGCUUCUUGAACUCUAGCAUCUUGGGGCUGUGUCCACUGCCCUGGGCAGCCUGUUCCAGGGUCUCACCACCCUCAGGUGCAGGCCCUGUCCCUAACCCCCACUGCCCCUCCCCUGACACAGCUCCAUGCCGUUCCCUCGGGCCCUGUCGCUGUCACACAGAGCAGAGCUCAGCGCUGCCCCUCUGCUCCCUGUGAGGAGCUGCAGCCGCCAUGAGGCCUCCCCUGUUCUUGACACGUGUUGCAAAGAUUACAGAAAGUUGUGUUAUACAGACUUAUCCGAACUCCAUGUUCAAGCUGCUGCAACAGCAGUCACCAAGCAGCAGCUGAGUGAUGGAGUUUGUUCAUUAUAAUGUCAGACUGAGAACUGGGCAGCUUAUUGCUGUGACAGUAGUGCCAGAUAGUGUUAAGUGUGCUUGGUCAGAAAUGAGCCAAUUUUGACUUAACAGGACACUGUGCAGUGCAUAGUUGUGCUUGACAAUAGUAUCUUUCUCUCCCUGUUUCAGUUUACAGAGGUGGGAAAAAACCACGUGUGUGGGGGGCACGAUGACUGUACGAAGUUUUUCAGAAUUCUGUUUUCAACUCAUUUACUAUUAAAGUCGGAAAUGAAGGGAGCAUCCAAUCAUCUUCUGACUGAGGGCAGCACGCAACUGGAUAUCAGCACCAACAGUGGAAUCACAAGUGUAGGAAGUGAUCUCAAAAAUCAAACUCCUUUUCAAAGUCCAGAAAUGCUUACUGUAAAGACAGGUUCAGUUUGUUCAUCUGGUCAUUUUAUUUAUAUAUUUCAGAGUGAGGUUAGUAUCUUCAUGUAUGUUUAAGGGGCAUGGUAGCUGGUGAAAACAAAUAUCUUUGUAGUUCCUUGUCCUCACUGCCCAACAGUUGGUGCAUCAACGUAAGGAGAGUCAGCCAAGCUGAGUUUGAGCUAUGGCCCUGGUCUGUGACUGAAAAUGAUUCUGUUUUCCUAGAUAAACUAUUUUUGCUAUAGGAACUCUCCUCCUACACCUCUCUUUCUCCUGGGUUUUCCCAGCAUUUUUGUUUGGUUGAAUAAGAUUUAUUCUGAGCUAAAUUGAAGGAUACUUUUUCUCAACUAUGCAGCUGAUCUGUGGGUUUUAUGAAAUAUUGCAAUGGCUUUCUUCGGGAGUUUGCCGGUCUUUCUGAGGCACCAGUGGGUUUUCAAAGACAGGUUUGACCGAUCAUUUGUUGUCAAUAGUUUACAGAUAAUCGAUCCUUCCUUAGAAUGAGAGAAUGGACCUCAGAUGACCUGGAACUUUCCAUGCUCUUGUACUCGGUUUUGUGAUUGUUCAAGUCUUUUAAAACUACCCUGAGAGCCCUCUUGGGAUUUGCUUGUUAUGGUUUCCUGCAGCGUACCUAAUAGAAUAUUUUGAGUGCUAUUUCAGCAAGCCUGACCAAAUGCUGAAGGGAGACUUUUCAAACUAGUGUUCCCAUAUACAGUUUUGUUUAGAAGGAAUGUGUGACUCUUAAGGAAAUUUGAAGUGACAGGAAACGGCCUCUUGAAGAUGUAAAAUAUCAGUUUUGUGGAAACUUCAGAGGGCUUGGGAAACUUGCUGACUAAGCAGAAUGCUGACUAUUAGAAAUCACUGAAAAAUGGUGGCAGUGAUUGAAAGCUUAGUUUUAGAUUAAGCAUUGUCAGCUAAAUACCUUUGAAGUGAAAUGAUGUGCUUUUGUAGUGACAAAUGCCUGUUCCUGAAGCUUCUUUUGUUUCUGUUUAGCUGAUACUCAUCUGUUACCUUGACUUGUAACAAAACAUCUUAUCCUUGCUCUCAGAGUUAACACUUAAUGUAAGUAUUCUGUAAUCGUUUGGGUAUUUAUACACAAGUACACUAGUGUUUCACCUUACUGUGUGAUAAGAUGCUUCUCUUUCAUCAAAAAGUAGUAAUAUUUUUGAAUUUCAGCAGUAGUAGGAAAUAACCCCUUUUCAGGAAUAAGUACGGCUCAGUAAACUUACAGCUUACAUUAUGAGUAACUGUAUGGCUUGCAAGUAUUGGACAGUCACUUUCAUCCUUUAAUGUAUACAAAUAUGUACGUACAUAUUUGUACAUUUAUACACAUAUAUAUAUGUAACCUUUCUCUAAAUAUUUACACAUUAGGAGUUUAAUUUUGUUACUUUAGAGUUUUAUAUAUGGUUGCUUUUUAUUAUUUUUUUCCUUCCUCUUUUGUUAGCAGAGUACUGUCUGUGUUGUGGUGCCUGAUUAAAAGCUGGGAGGGUGCUCUGAAUUUGCCCUAUAGCUGAAUAGCCAAAUAGAACAGUUUUGUUCUUCUAUUGCUUUGCUUUUAGUUACCUUCUUUCUGGUUAAUUCCUGGGAGGGAAGUUCUUCUGUGUAUGAUUGGGAUGCAAAUUUUGAAACUCAAAUUACUAUGCUCUUCCAUCACAGUGACUCAUGUACGUGGCACAGAUCAUCUCAACACUAAUAGAAAAACUGGAAUUAUGUAGGAGUUGCCAUAUGCAUUAAAUAAUAGUUAUCUAAGCUGGUACCAGUCUUCAGUUACAGCCAAGAACACCAGUAGGGGAAAAAAUAACCAGAGUUCAAAUAUGUUUAACAGUGCUGAACUACAUUUUCACUGGCUACAGAUACCUCAAAGUCAUUUCUUCUCACAUACACUUAAAUUGGGAAGUUGGGGGGAUCACUUCCCAAUUCCUGUUUUUGUCUGAUUUUUCUGUCUUACCUCAUUUUUGUAUCACCAAAACAGAAACUCUUUAACCUUCAGUUAACUCUGCAGAUUUUCCAAAGUUCUACAGAUUGAACCUAAGGGUACCUACUGAAUAAUCUCAAGCUGUUAUUAUGUGCAUUCAGAGUCUUUUUCAGGUCUUCUCUCAUUUGUAUUCCCCAUUAAGGAUUUUGAAUAUGUAGGGUAGCUUGAGCAGAACACAGCUUCCUCUGGCAAAUGUAGUCACAAUAUCAGUCAUAAAAAAAAUACCAGGAUCCAGCAUCUGUAGCUGACUACUUCUUUGCCUGUGUUUGUAUUCACUCAUGAAGCAUACUAAUGAAAGUGUGCUAAUUUGUAAAUUGCAAACCAGUACUGAUUACAUAUUAUGAAUGCUUGCUUUUGGCAAACAGUUUUAGGUUAUGUUCUCCAACACAGGCAUAAUAAAUCUACCUCUAGCUCAAGGUCUGGUUUUUAGAUAUACUUUUUUUUUUCUUUCUUUUUCUUUUUUUUUUUGGGGGGGUGGAGGACAUUUAGUGAUAUACUAUUUUAACUCUCUUCUAAAGACUCUGCGGCUACCUUGGUAUCCUUUCUGGGUUACUUCCUCUGGUUAUAAUGUUCCUUUUACUUCAACCUGUUUUCUUCAACCUCUUUACUUUCAAAGGAGAAUAUUUUAUUAGGGAUUCAUAAUCAUCAGCGAGAAAGGCAGCAAUUGCACUGCAACCAUUUAGUGUGGUGUUCACCUUAGACAUCACCUUGGAUCCUUGCUUCAGAGAUGCUUCUGCUUAGCUCGGGCUAGUUCCUUUUGCCACUUCUUUGGGGUAGGUCUGAAGCAAUUUCACCUUGGGAGGACUGAUUCUUCAAUCUUGAAGCCUUACCAUCUCCUUUUUUAUCAGCUACCUUUUAAAAAACAAAAAUGAACACAAAACAACCAACAAAAGAAUGAAGUAGCAGGAAGCUGCUCUUCUAACCAGGGAGAAAUGGAAUUAAUCAUGUUCACUUCAAUAAUAGAUUUUACUGUAAUUUCCUCAAGCCAAAGAGAAAGACUCGUCUUGGAUCAGAGAGAUCUGAAUGCCUGCGUGGUUCAAGAUAGUCAUAGAAUCACUGAGGUUGGAAAAGACCCCUAAGAUCAUCUCGUCUAACUGUCCUUCUUUCCCAACUACCGCCAGUGUUGCCCACUAAACUAUGUCCUUAAAUGUGCAAGAUGUGAGGAUGCUUUCUCAUCAGUAGGAAUAUUGGCUCAUGCCUCUUGGUUUAUUUAUUUCUAUUUUCUCUGCCUGGCAGAAAAUGCAUCCUAGUUGAUAGUUUCUUUUUCAGGGCACGGCAUUGAUGCUGUUACGUUCUUGAGCAUGAAGUAUCUCUUUGGUGGUAUAAAAAGCAAAGCCCUUCUCUCUAUAUUAGUUAAAGUCACCCUGCAGAUCACUUUGGUAUAUGUAGUAAAUAUAAAAGCAAUCUUUACUAGCCCCUAUGCAUACCAUUGGAGAACCAUCAGAACUGUUCCUCAUUUCUUUUUUCACCUGUUCUUACUUUCUGCAAGCUGUGGUUUGUGCCAUGGAUUUUUUUUUCCUCUUAUUUCUCAGCAUUCUCAGUUCUGUUCCAAUCCCACAUCCAAAGUUCUCUGAACGUCUACACUUGGCAUAUCUUAAAUGCAGAAUGAAUUACUGAAAUUAAUGAUUUAUUUCAUUCGUAUGUUAUUUACUUUGGAAACAAAUGAGUAUCUUCAUUAUUUGAUAAUUAAAUGUAAUGGCUCAAAAUUUAACAGUGCUGAGCUAUCUUAUUCAAAGCUUUGUGUAGAGAGAGACAGCUGAAGAUAAUUUCAUUUCUACAUCCUUAUUCACUCACUACCUUUCUUUUGCUAAAUACGUAUUUAUAAGAGAAAAGCAGCCAACUUUGUUAACUGGGUCUGCCCCUCCUCUUGGCUGGCUGAGCUAAUUGUUUAGCUCUGUUGUAGAGAAUAAACAGAUACACCUCCUUCUCUUUUCUUUUCUGUAUCUAUAGUUGCUCUGGUUCCUCAGGAGCCAGCAGAGUUUGCUGUUUCCAUCCUCAGGGUGAAUAUUUUGAUGGUUACAUGUAACAAUAUGGAGGGUCAUGGAUAUUUUCAUUGCACACUGAGAAGGUCUUAUUUUCCCUGAUAAAUAUAUAUACACUAUUAUUUUUUUGUCAUAGUGACUUAUACUGUUGAUGCCACAGGCAUAUAUACUGCCUGUUUGUUAAGAAUAACAAUUUAAGAUUUAUUUUUCAUAAAGGUAAGUUUCCUCACAAAGCCUCCAACUGUGAACUGAGGUGGCAUCUCCAGUUUAGCGGCUGUAGCUUUCAUUCCCAUGUAUUUUCUAUUUCCAUGCUCAAAUUCAGUUUAGAUCAAGUAAAAAAGGAAUGCAUGAAUAUAGAAAUGUUCUUACUUCACCUUAGUGUCUCCUGUUAGUUAAGUUAGUAACUUUCAUACUUAAGUACUGUUUGAAGCAUAGCACUAAACUGAGUUAUUUUAAUAAUUGUUUCCAAACCUGUUGAAGUAUUGAGGCUCAAGAAAGGGAGGCAAAUGCAUUCAUUCUUUAUGUGUUUGUCUACGAUUUCUAUUUCUUCCCAAUAAUUUGUUAACUGGUGUUUGAUUUGAGCCAAAUUUUAUAGGGAAACAUAUUUGAAAGAUUUUUAAACUCCUGCCCACACUACAAAAAUGUGUAUCUUUGCAAAUGUUAAUGGCAGUGGAAAGGUGACAGUGUUAGCUUACAUGUAAAUAGAUACAGGAAACUAGAGAGGAAAGGCAUCUUACAGAUAUCCUGAUUAUGAGAACAGCCUUAGUUAAAGCUCACAAUCAGCCAUGACGCCAAAACCUUGAGAGGACUAGCUUUAAUUAGUUCCAGUUCACAAAAAUAUUACUUUUCUCUGUAGUAUUUAUGCCUUUCCUGCCAAGGAUGGCUUCAAAAUUCAGCCAUGGAGACACUGCAAGUAAGUGCUGGCAAGAAUUACUUUUAGUAUUUAAGUGAAGGAGAAAAGUACACACGUAUGUAUUAGAUAUUUGAAUGCUUGCGAAAUUAUGAAGAAAUGUAAUUUUGUCUGUAAAAUGUUUUCCCUUAAAAAUGUAAGGUUUUGGAUUGUUGCUUAGAGAUUAUGAAAAAUUAGAAUUGGUUAAAAUGUAUGAAGUUUUAAAUGUUCCUGCAGGUAAUCUGUACUUACUACAGAAGUUUGCUAAAUGAAUAGUGGUUCUUUUGUAGGCCAGAGAAUGCAGCGUUAUUCAUCUUUCAUCAGAGUAUUACAACAGAAAGGCAAAUAAUGUGACGUUUCUUGCUAAUAAAUGUUGACGUGUGUAGUUCCUUUGGCUUUUCUAUUCGUUCAAGACUGUUCAUUUGUUUUAGGCCACAUAAAUUAGAGCUAAGAAAAAAAAAGGCGCCUAUUGCUACUUCUAAAUGUCAUCCUGCAAAGAAUCUCAUUUUAAUUCAGAAUAACUGGCUACUGAAAGAACCAAGGGCUUGCAAGAGUCUGGACCCUAAAGCUCAACCUGCAGUCACCACACAAACUACAAACUUAAUUGGGAGAAAAAACACCCAACUUGCAAAACUACAUUCAUACAAGUUUGAGGUUGGAGUUGGUAAUAUCAGCAGAUAAUGGCAUAACUGAAAGAAUUUGUUAUGAUGUUUAGACUUGUAUUACAUGAUCUUAUCUAAAAUAAGUGCAUCCAAAGUGCCAGUUUCACUUUGGGAUACCACAUUACUAACGAAGUACUGAUAUAUUAGAUGACGCUCGAGUAAGACUAAAGCAUUACUGGAAUUAAUGACAGUUUGGGACUAUUUUUUCCUCCUAGGUAAGAAGAAAGCUUAACAACUUGGUGGAAUUGCUAGCAAAGAAAGGGCAGCUGUAAAUUCCUGAAGGCUGCAAACAGUGAGAAAGAAGAACUGAUUAUCUGAAUAGUGAUCUGAAGGCAUAAGGGAAGAAAACUGAGAGAAAGGGAAAAUUGACCUAUUUUCCUGUAUCUUAAAAAGCACUUGGUUGUAGAAGAGUUUACCCAAGAAAUUACUGGAAACCCAAGCCCCCUAAAAUGAUGACAACAGAAUGGGAGAAGUGCUAGAAAAUGUGUUGUCCUGGGCAUCUCAGCACUGGCAGAUUCGAAUACUCAGGUGUUGACUUAGCAAAUGUGCUACAGGCCUUACUGGAGAGGUUUGACACAAUAAUGAGCGAAGGAUCAAAUGAUCACUUUCUAGCCUUAAACAAUAUAAAUUAGCCCUGUUUCUGGACUGCUGAAUAUUUAAUAACAUCUCUGUUCAAACGUAAACAACUUCUCUGAAUGUUAAUACCUUUGUUCUAGCAGUGUGUCUGUUCAAAUAUGUUAAGUAGCACAAAUGGCAGUAAGUAGUGCAAAGCAUUGCUUAUGCACAUUCUCACUUUUAACAUCAAAGCCUCUAUGAGGAAUUUUAUCAUUCACAAAGAGGAAAAAUUAAUCUGCAAAGAAGCUCAGGCAGUAAUAAGGUGAUUGCAUCUGUACAUAUAACUUGAUACCUGGCAGAUCUUAAUUCCUCCUUUAAGACUGUGAAAAAGAAAAUCAAACCCAAUAGUCUGUUGUUCUUGGUUUGGAUACGAUAACAUAAAAUGCAUUAAAAUUCUUCACGUUUGUGUAUGUGGCUUAUAGCACAAUCUUGCAGUGUUCACAUCGCUUCUUUGGAUCUCUGGUAACAUUCUAUGGCAUGGAAAGCUUCUGAUGGUCAUGGCAGGUGUUGUUACCAGGUGAGUGAGUACUAGUUAGUGUGCUGGUUAUCACUGCUUGAUUAAUGUGCAGCAACUGUGUAACUGGUUCCUGUAGUGCUGCCAUAGAUUCCUGACAUAAUUUAUCAUUUCAUUAGCAUCCAGUUUCUUUCUUGGAUUCAUCAGUAAGGUCAACACAAUGAAAGGCACAGACUGUCAUAUUUCCUCUUCCUUCCUCUCCUCACCCACGCACAACCACUCAUUUCUCUCCAUUUUGGUGUAUCAUAAUUUAAUAUUUACCAGCUGUAGCUUGGUACCAAAGGAGUAAUUAUCUGUUAAUCCCUUUGCCCUUAGGGGGUUCUCUUGUGCCAGCAGGAAGAGAGAAGGCUUCGGUCACUGAGGGCCAGCGCUGUGUGUUUUCCCCCAUAGCAUCAGCAGUACUGUUAAGACAAGGCACUGUGCCUUGAAUCCUAAUACCCUGCAUCCUAAUGCAUGUGCAGAGGGCCAGCCUGUGAUAGGGCAGGCCCAGAGGUGGGCUGCAAGGUGCCACGCUGGGGUGGAUGCUGCUUAUCAUCCACCCUGUACCCGACAGCUUUGGGUAUGUUUUAUAGCAGUUGUGAGGUUCAAGUACCUUAUCUUUCAGUAUCUAUCCCUGACUGCCACGAAGUGCCAUCCUUUCAGAAGCAGGUGGUUGUGUCUGUACAGUAGUAGCAAACUGGGCAUUCAUGUUGAUUUGGGAAUUUUAUGAAAUUAAGUUAUAAAACAUCUGCAUUUACAGCAGGUGUCACCCUGAGCUGGUAAGGAGGGUAACUGUGAAUAUACAAACUGUACAUCUUCAGAAAAAAAAAAACACCCAUGGCUUGUUAGGAAAGAUGUGCUAAAGCAAUAGAAGCUCUACGUACAGUUCUGGUAUUUGGAUUUUAAAUUAACACUGGAUUAGCGAUCUGUCUCUGUCAAGACUAUAAAGAGCUUUUGUUGCAAUCCAUCACACAGCUUUUGUGUCCUGCUCUGUAUGUAGAAGCUGUUAACAGGAAGAUGAGAUUAAUGGUAAGAGAAAAAAUGUCAUCAGAUAAACCAUAGGUCUCAAAAAAGCAAUUUCAAAUCGCUGUGUAUGUUAUGCGCUCAUAUAUUUUUAGCCUUUGGGGAUGGAGGAAAGCUUGUAAUCAAAAAAUAAUUUGGGCAUUCUUGGUUGUACCUAAAUUAGAGCCCAGGAUACUUCCAAAAUAGGCUUUAAUCAAAUGACCUGACAGCAGCUCACUAGGAGGAAAAAAAAUGAGUGCAAGGUAACCUGAAUAAUAUUUAGUAAUGCAGACAGCAAAUUUUGCAGCUCUUAUUUCAAAUCUUUUAUGUAAUAAUUUGAAAGGUUAUUAUUUAGAGCCAUCACUAUGUAUGUACCCAUAUAUAUAAUGCAAAUACGUUUAAUUACACGCAUACUUUUUAUUUUUAAAAAUAACUGCUUAAAAGGCCUAAUGGAAAUACAAGUGCAGGAAGGCAUUUUUUUCUUGUGAAUAAUGGCCUAACAAUAAAAUGCAGUAUGGCUCCAUGUGACUUAAGUAUUUCUGCAUUAAUAUAUGGAAACGUUUAUUUAAUUUUUCUUUACUAAGAUAUCAUUAGAGCUUGCAACUGGUUGAGGACAAUGCUUCUCUUCUGUGAACUAUUCACAAGGCUGGUUUUGUGAGGCUCCUCUGUAGCUUAAUACUGUACUUUCAGUACCGGAACCUACAAUUCUUAAAGGUUUUUAAAACUACUCAGAAUUGCAAGAGAUAAGCUAAUACCAAUUCAUUCUACUCUAACACCUGGAAAUCUUUAUUUUUAUUAUUUUUAUUUAAUGUAAUUUUUUGAAAUAAGAAUUUUUAUUCUUACGUGUUUUUUGUUAUAUAUAUGGAGAGAGAGAGAGAGAAAUUACGGUGUUGGACUAAAGGAAAGCACACUUUUAAUUUUUUUUUUAACUUAAAUUAUUUUAUGUAAAGUAAAUUUGUGUUAAUUUUUCUUGCUGUACACCUGCUUUGAGUCACAUCUAUCUUAGUAUAUUGAAUUUUGUCUAUGAGCCAGAAAUGCAACUGGCUUAGAGCCUCAUAGCCCCCAAUAGCCCGGCUGUUUAGGGUAGAAAGUGUUGAACUUGAUAUUCUGCAAUAGCAGAUCAUUAAAUUAGUUGCCUUAUUAAGAUGAGUAGAAACAUUUUUGCAGUUAUUAAUAAGAUAGGCAUCAACUAAAUGUGCACUUACAAUGGCUGGAUUAUUUUGUAUAUGUGAUUUUGCAGUGAAUUUUUCAAGUUUGAUAUAAACAAUUUACAUUUGAAAGACAUUGACCGUAGCAAGAUGGAUUCUGUUGGUGGUGGGAAAACUGAUACAAACAACAUGGUUAAGACAAUCGAUGCUUAACAGAUUGACUGAUCAGUAGGUACUGGUUUAUGUUACAGAAAAUAGGAGGUGGAAACAAAGGAAAAAAAAACAAAUUGUGUGAAAUCAAGCUGAUUUUAGGAUUGUAGGGAGAAAAAAAAAGCCACGAUUUGCAAACUGCUGUACUCUGAAUUGUGUUAUUCAUAGUACUGAAGUUUAAUUCAAUUUAACAUAACGGAGGAGAUUGGCUAAAGUGGCAUGUGAUUCAUGUAACCCUGUUGUAUUUUGCACCUGUGUUGGGAAAAAGAAGCAGGUAUUGAGCUGAAUGUUUUCUCCUUGUAUUUAAAAUAGCUUACGGUUUUGUUUGUUACGUGUGAUCAGCAUGAAAUCUUCCAUUAGGGCUUGAAGGGAGGACAUAAUUGCGUAAAAGGAAUGGUAAGUGCCAGUGCCAUCAGCAUAUCGAGGCAGCCAUGGUGGGCAAUAGCCCAAACAAAACACAGGUAGAAGAAUUUCAGAUAAGGGUGUAAGAAGCCCCCACUGCAUACGUUUAGUUCUGUGGUUGGGCCCAGCCCAGUGUUGAGGAAGCCCGUACCCAUGUAGUGGGCUACAGUUUGGUUCAGGCUUUACCUGACUUAACAAAAGAGGAAGUGGUCUAAGAGUCCUAAGAGACUUUCUCCUGGGCUCAUUCAGUAGAAAUGUUUUGCUGCCCACUGUUGUGCUGUUUUGAGACAUGCGACUCAUUGACUUGACUCAAACUGCAGCAUUUCAGUCAAUGAAAAUCAGCUGUUACCUCCUUUAAAACUUGAAGUAGCCGAUGUAUUAUGAGAUGGUAUGUCUGCUUUCUACCAUGGAAGCUUGCUGCUGUUUCUAUUAAUGGAGUUGUACUUUCCAUAUCAGCAAUACUACUGCACUGUUACUAGUGGUCUGAUAUUUUCCAGUGCUGUUUGUUGCAGGGCUUGCUACCAUCCCUGGAGUUACCUCAGUGACGGUAAAUACUUCAGAUUUUUGGAAAAACAAGUUUAUCACAGGUAAAAGUUCUAAAAAUCAACAUACAAAUAACUCACAGCUGCAAUUAUUCUCACCCAUAAGGUGACCCUUAAGGUCAUCUAAUCCAGCUGCCCUGCAAUGAAUAGGGUCACCUGCAUGUAGGUCAGGGUGCUCAGAGCCCCGUCCAUCCUGGCAUUGAGUGUCUCCAGGGAUGGGGCUUCCACCACCUCUCCAGGCAACCUGUUACAGUGCCUUGUUAUUGCUUUAGUCAUUGCAUCGCACAUUGGCCAAACGUGUAUCAACUAUUUGGAGCAAUCUAGAGUAGGAAAUAUUAAGAUGCAAAAUGAAUUGUUGACAUUUAGUCGUUCUUAAACAGUAGUGAUAUCAACUUCAUUUUCUACUAACAUCUUUUGCAGUUAUUCUCUUUAACACUGAUUUUUUAGGUACAAUAAGGUCAUCUUUUUGUAGUCAUCUGCAGUUAAAAAUCUUUUUCAGAGCAAGUUGCAGAUGAGGGAGAUAAAAGGAAAAUACUCCAAAGAGAAGUCUUCAGUUUGCUGAUCUAUUUCAUUGUAUAAAGAUUGCAGAACUGUAGUUUUAACAGCUUUCUGUUAAAUUGUCAAUUCAGGAUGAAAUUGAUCAGAUGACAGUUGAUGUAACCUGGAAGAGACAUAAAGUACUUAUAGGGUUUUAAAAUCACCGCAUUGCCCUCGUAGUGUCUGAGAGUGUACUGCUUUGCUGAGGGACCUUAUGCUGCUGGGGGAUCCUUGGGGGUUUUACCUGCACGUUGAUCUUCCAGUGAGAGCUACAGGGGAACAACCUCCAUGAGGUCUUUGCACGUUUGCCUGUUCAUACCAGCGGUGUAUAUGUAGUGUAACAGUGUGUGAUAGUAUAAUUCUAAGAAAAUCUGACAGAGAAUGAGCUUGAUUUGUUCAGUUUUGAUACUUUCCUGGAUUCAUUUUGGUGUCCAUUGCUCUUUUUGAUAGUGUUGGAAUGUUUGAUGUCAGCACACCCAAACCGUGGUGUCAUGAGCAGCGAAACACCUUUGGACCAAAAUUCUUAUUUGAUUUCCACUUCACAGUUGAUCUGUAUAAAUAUGUUUGAUGGCAUUUUUUUUUACUAAUGUGUGGAAUGACUUUCUUUUAAGAGAUCAAAUUCAAGAAAAUCCUCUCUGAAUGGAAGAAAAGUGAUUGAAAAAUAACGCAGAAGUCAUAAGCAAAGAUGUGGGAAUUGGAUGAAAAUUAGAGGCUGUUUGAUUAACAUUUAUAAAGCGAGUGAAUGAUUUUCCAGUGGUAGCCGGGGAUGCUAUUGGUGCAGAAUAGUUUUGUGGAAACUUAAUUAUGGAAAUUCCGGUGAUAAAGUUGGCAGGAUUUUAUAGUAAGUUGAAGAUAUGUAAGCGAGUGAGAGGAGGAUUUUUAUUAGCUACUUUAAUUCUGUCCUGUAGUCUGUCUGUUUAGCAUAGAUGUGGUUAGUACAUGACUACAUAGGCAAAUAGAAAAGCUAUUGCGUAAUCUGUUUCUUCUUCUGAGGAGGAAAAAAGCGCUGAAUUGAUUAUUACAUUUCAGACUGAUCUGUUCUGCCAGCAGCUGGAAUGGGAUCCAUUAAAUCAAGGAAAUGAAAGGCACUGCUGUUGUACGUUGUUAAAGAAAUUACAAGUAUGGUAAUACCAAGCUGUAAAGAUACAUUAUAGAAAUGGUUGGAAUUAAAUUUAACCCCAUUAAAGCAAGGGCAUUCAGUGCUGCAUUAUUGAUAUACAUAAAAAUUACACAGGAAUGUUUUCCAUUACUGCUAAGAAACUAAGUUUAGUAAUGACAGAGUGUAACUCAAUCAAAAUUAAACUUUCAUUAAAGAAGAUACUGUGAUUGUGAAAUCCUAUUAGUCUUCUGAAAGUUAAAUUGAAGUGUGGUUUAAUUACCAUUUAAACUGCUGGGCAGAUUAGUUAGCUACCUUUCCUCACUUCAGUGGUGUGCUUUCAUUCUUGGUGCUCUCAGUGUACUUGCUGGAAAACCAGAGUUGUCACUGUGACAGUUGAUGCUGUUUUCUACAAGCUGCUUCUGGUUUACCGUUUCCCACACAUCUUGCUCUUCUGAGACGUCUUCCUGAAGCAGCGCUGAAGGGGAGAUGAUGGUUUCUGACUGCAGUGUCACUGACCGGCAUUGAUCUGGCAGUGUGGGGCAGGUGCCCUGUAGCAGGUCCCUCAGAUGCAGCCAGCGCUGUGUAGGCUGGCUGGGGAGUUGGGUUCCCAGCUGGAUUCAAAGUGCUUCAAAAGAUGUAUGGGGAACAAGGGAGAAGAGUUUUCAGAAGUGGAUCUGCGAGAGAUCUACAUCUCUCUGUGAAGGCGCACUUCCUAUAUGAAGAUCUCUAUGGAGCAGAGUGCUUGCAGUAUACACCAGUGCUUUGGAGCUGACUCGCAGCUCUGGGUGGGCGAGCAGGGAGGAGGGAGAGCCGGGCUCUGAGGGCGGCCAGCCCAGCCUUCAGAGUGAGGAGGGGAGACCCGCUCCCAGCUCAGAUGGUGUCAGCUCUCCUACCUCGCAGCAGGGAUGCUCAGCUGUACGGGCAGGCCUGGCCGUGGCUAUCAGCAGUUCUCUGGGCUUGAGUGGGAGCAACAUGCUGACAGAUUGGAUGAUCUGAGGAUGAGCUGCUUUGCUGCUGGAGUGGCUUGGUUAACAUGAUUUGGGAGCAGAGGGGGAGGCACUGUGGGGUUUUUUGCUUAAACUGAGAGGAUAGACUGGAUCGUUGCAUUCCUUAUAUUUUUUUUUUUUUCCCUCUUUCACAGCUCCAGUAAUACAUACAGGCAUUUCAGAAUUGGUCAGCUUUCUGGAUGAGAGCUGCAUCUUUUAUAAGAGAGAGGAAAUCGCUUAGGUGCAGUAAGUCUCUGUUUUCUCUCCCAUACUGUCCCUUACCUUGUUUCAUAAGCAAGGACUCCCAGUGCUGGGAUCACUAAAUGCCUUGGAGAGGAAUUGACAGGACCUGCUAGUGGUCACCACAAACUGCAAACACCAUGUGCCCUGCAGUGGGCAAAUUACCAACAGGCACUUCAGCUGCGUGCAGCUCCUGUGUCCCAGGGGUCCACCAUUUGUUAAACAUCACAUGAAAUGCAUUUCCCUUUAUUUGAAGCAUGAUUGAGUGGUAUCUUCCUUGGUUGCAUCCUGUUUCUUGUUAUUGUGGGGAACAGAGAAAUACUCUAUGUCCAGACUUUGUGUAAUUUUCAAAUGUGAAGCAUGAUUUUGAAGGCAUUGGUUUCCUCUUCUGUCAUCUGUUUCCUUUCCAAGUUUAUCUGUAGUUAAAACCGAUACCUUUUACCAGAUUUACUGUUCCCUCUGAUGCCUUUUAUUGUUCCACAGUAUCUUUGGGUAGGAUAGCCAGUGCUGCAUUAGUCAGAUAUUACAAAAGUGAUAUAUGUGUCUUUGGGGGGAAUAAGGAUGAGAAGUGGAUUCUCUGCUAAUUCUGAAGAGGUCAGUGCAAAACAAAAUAAUAAAAAUCUGUUGUCUUACAUAGACUUUUAUUCAGGUUCAGAGUUGGACGUUCUGAGGGCCAAGAAAUUCUGGCCUAUUUUUUUUUGCUUGCCCGGCUUCUUUUUCUGCCCACUGGAGAAAACAUUUGGGCCAGUAGUGCAUCUUUUCAGCUUUUUUUUGUUAAAUGUUCUAUCCUAGAGGCAAAUUAGAUACUUAAUGGGCACUACAUAAAUGUUGUUACUUGAAAACUAUCUAGCCAUUGAUUUAAGACUUUUUUUUUCUUGUUUUUUUUUUAUGCAGUUUUAUAUAGAAUUUAUCAUUUUAGCAUUUGCAUAUUUACAAUCUUAUGAGGAAAGGUUGAGGGAACUAGGGUUUUUUAGUUUGGAGAAGAGGAGGCUCUGGGGAGACCUCAUUGUGGCCUUCCAGUACUUGAAGGGAGUGUAUAAACAGGAGGGGGAAUGGCUGUUUAUGAGGGUGGAUGGUGAUAGGACAAGGGGGAAUGGUUUUAAACUGGGACAGGGGAGGUUUAGGUUGGAUAUUAGGAAGAAGUUUUUCACAGAGGGUGGUGACGCACUGGAACAGGUUGCCCAAGGAGGUUGUGGAUGCCCCAUCCCUGGAGGCAUUCAAGGCCAGGCUGGAUGUGGCUCUGGGCAGCCUGGUCUGGUGGUUGGCGACCCUGCACAUAGCAGGGGGUUGAAACUCUAUGAUCAUUGUGGUCCUUUUUAACCCAGGCUAUUCUAUGAUUCUAUGAAUCUGCGUAUGCUAUAUGCAUUUUUUUCAUGCAGGAUGUAAAAUAAAGAAGGGAGAGCAAUGUUAUCACAAAAUACUGCUUUGCUUAAAUUAUGCAAGAAAAAGAACACUAGCCAUUAACUACUUUUAUUCUAUUUAGUGAUUAUUUUUUUUAACUCUUGUAAUUCAUAACUGUGUUAAUUAAAAAGAGAUAAGUAAAAAUAGACAUAUGAAAGAAACUGAAAUAGGGUUUUUUUUCUGUUCAUGUUUGGAUCUCUCUGUAAAGACUUACCUUCUUUGCUGUUUAUUCAGCAGCGUCAUUGAAGUAGUAAUCAAGAAAGGGCUUAACUUUGGCAUCAAUAUUUAAUUGCUUCUGUAGAACAUUGCUCACGUAUCACUUGCUGCAUUACUUUCACAGCAACAGAACUGUUCAUUUAUUUUCUCUUGGGGUGCUGUGAUGAUGAGCCUGCAGCUCAGGGUUCUUCGUGUGCUCGCUGCUCCUCAGGGCUGCACACUUCGAGGACUGCAGAGCUCAGCUGGUGGGGCCUGCUCAGUCUGCCGCGCCUCGUGCUGUUCCCACACAAUGCACCAGGCAUAUAAAGGCUCACUUCCACUGUCAGCACCUUCUCAAUGCCUCUGUCAGAGGCUGUAUUCAUAUUUGCACUUUUUAGCUUUUAUGUAGCAGCUAGCUUUUUAGUAUGUAGGUAUUUUUGUACAAGAAAGAUUUGGGAUAUUCCUGGAAACUAAAAAUAUGUUUGUUUAAAUUACCCUACCGUGUUCAUAUCUCCUUUUUUAGGUUUUAGAUAUAUAUUUUUAAAAUCCCUCAAAAGCAUGAAAUAUUUGUUAUCUUCUGAAGAAAAUUAAGGAAGUAGCACACUGUUGCAAUGUUGUGAAUUAUGUCUAAUCAGAUCAUGGAAGCAGAGGGGACUUUCUUAGGUGGGCUUUCGGUAUCCUUCCUAGGUCCCUCAGAUACAAGCUUGACCUUCAGUGAGAGAAUAGGCUCCUAGGAAAAAUGGCAGGGAGAAAUCUAAGUGGUGAGCAAGAGGAAAGAACUCCUAUUACAAUCUUCUCUGACUCUCAUAAUUCCCUAUUGCAUUCUACAUCAGCAAAAUUUCAACUUUAUCGCCACUAACCCUAACCUUAUUGAUUCAUAUCUCCAAAAUAUGACUUCAUUUCAACCAAGCAAAGAUUCUCAUGACUAAAUAUAUGUGGUAGGGAAGAUAUAUUUUGUGGUGCAACAUGAAGCGCUAGCUUCAGAGGUGGUGAAACCUCUAAGCAGAGUCAGAUGAUCCCAUUGAGGGCAUGAGGCCAUACAGCGCCUUGUGGGCGACUUGUCAUCAAAAAGAGCAGUCUCUUCUACAGUGGGAAAGGAGGCUGAGUGGCGCUGAUACUAAGUAUAUCUGAUUGGUGGAUGUCAUAGAAUCAUAGAAUGGCUUGGGUUGGAGGGGAUCUUAAAGAUCAUCUAGUUCCGGCCCCCUGUCGUUGGUCAUUCAGAGUUGUACACAUCAGAUCACUGAAAAAUUUCAAUUUUUAGUGAUCUGUUUUUCACAAAGAAAAGAUUUAGUGUACAAUCUUAAAUAUCAGCACUAAUAAGAUGAGAUGAUACGUAACUUGCCCACUGGGAAACCCCUUCCAGUCAGUGCUGUGGGUGCAGAAAAUUGCAAGUGAUUGCAGAUCUGGUGAAGGCUUUUGAUUAAUUAAACAUGUAGAUUUGAAGAGGUGUGCAGGGGUAGGGUUUCUCAAUCAUGGAUGGCUUUGCACUACUAAUUUACCGAGGAGACUUUUGUACUUGAAGAGGCAUCCUUAGCUCAUCUGAAUUUAUUGCCAGGAGCAGCACAGGUGGAAGGGAAAACUCCUCUUUUUCCUUACCUUGGUUAGGUAUGAUUGAUAAGUGGUGUAUAGACAAGGAGGGUGAUUCCUGCUAGUAAUACAACAUUGCAUAAUGAAUGGGUCAUAUCUGCCUUUCGGAUGGAAUAGGAAACUACUUUGACUUUGACUGCAUAAUAAACAGAAUGUGUUACUGGACUUUGCUUGGCCUGAAUAAGGAAGUAGUCUAUCAGUAAAUAUAUAUAUUUUUAACUGUGAUUUUUUUGUUUUAUUUUUCCCUGAGGGGAAAGAAAGAGUAGUUUUUUUAAAAAACCUGUCAUUUCCC
rnacentral:lncRNA from 1 species